rnacentral:rRNA from 1 species
AUUGAACGCUGGCGGCAUGCUUUACACAUGCAAGUCGAACGGUAACAGGCCGCAAGGUGCUGACGAGUGGCGAACGGGUGAGUAAUGCAUCGGAACGUGCCCAGUCGUGGGGGAUAACGCAGCGAAAGCUGCGCUAAUACCGCAUACGAUCUAUGGAUGAAAGCGGGGGACCGUAAGGCCUCGCGCGAUUGGAGCGGCCGAUGUCAGAUUAGGUAGUUGGUGAGGUAAAGGCUCACCAAGCCGACGAUCUGUAGCUGGUCUGAGAGGACGACCAGCCACACUGGGACUGAGACACGGGCCAGACUCCUACGGGAGGCAGCAGUGGGGAAUUUUGGACAAUGGGGGCAACCCUGAUCCAGCAAUGCCGCGUGCAGGAAGAAGGCCUUCGGGUUGUAAACUGCUUUUGUACGGAACGAAACGGCUCUGGUUAAUACCUGGGGCUAAUGACGGUACCGUAAGAAUAAGCACCGGCUAACUACGUGCCAGCAGCCGCGGUAACAC